rnacentral:rRNA from 1 species
AAAUUGAAGAGUUUGAUCAUGGCUCAGAUUGAACGCUGGCGGCAGGCCUAACACAUGCAAGUCGAACGGUAGCACAAAGGAGCUUGCUCCUUGGGUGACGAGUGGCGGACGGGUGAGUAAUGUCUGGGAAACUGCCCGAUGGAGGGGGAUAACUACUGGAAACGGUAGCUAAUACCGCAUAACGUCGCAAGACCAAAGAGGGGGACCUUCGGGCCUCUUGCCAUCGGAUGUGCCCAGAUGGGAUUAGCUAGUAGGUGGGGUAA